rnacentral:ncRNA from 1 species
UAUAAAGCGUAGAUGAGGAGAAGUAAAAAGCAUUAACAUUACAGAGAGAGUCACCUUGGCUGGAAGUGAUUCAUGCUUAAUGCUUUUGAAAUGCGCCUCGGAGCCUCCUUUCGAAGCAGAGAUGCUCUGUAGUAGAAUGGAGCGGAUUCUCUUCCGUUAUAAGAGCUGAGGGAGCCAAGCUUUUCAUUUGGCUAAACAGAGUGGAACCGCGCGUCCGAGCGUCUCUGUG